rnacentral:rRNA from 1 species
GACGAACCGUGCGAACGUUAUUCGGAAUCAUUGGGCUUAAAGGGCGCGUAGACGGACGGCCGCGUCGAGUGCUGAAAUCCCCCGGCUCAACCGGGGAACGGGCCUCGAAACGGGUCGUCUCGAGUGGAGGAGGGGGAACCUGGAACGUCCGGUGGAGCGGUGAAAUGCGUUGAGAUCGGACGGAACGCCGACGGCGAAAGCAAGGUCCUGGACUCCGACUGACGUUGAGGCGCGAAAGCGUGGGGAGCAAACAGG